rnacentral:rRNA from 1 species
GACGAACGCUGGCGGCGUGUUGAUACAUGCAAGUCGAACGCACGAAGUUUAGAGCUUGCUCUUUAACCAAGUGAGUGGCGUUUGGCCGAGUAACACGGGAAUUCACCUACCC